rnacentral:rRNA from 1 species
UACGUAGGGGGCAAGCGUUGUUCGGAAUUACUGGGCGUAAAGGGUGCGUAGGCGGGCCUUUAAGUCAGUGGUGAAAGCUCCGAGCUUAACUCGGAAACUGCCAUUGAUACUAUUGGUCUUGAAUUCGGUCGAGGUUGGCGGAAUGUGUCGUGUAGCGGUGAAAUGCUUAGAUAUGACACAGAACACCGAUUGCGAAGGCAGCUAGCUAGACCGACAUUGACGCUGAGGCACGAAAGCGUGGGGAUCAAACAGG